rnacentral:lncRNA from 1 species
CUUUCACACACAUGUCCUUUGAAGACUUCUGGAUAUUGCUGCUACUUGGGUAUACCAGCUGGUGGGAGUAUAAUUUGUUCUGAGGGCUGGUAAUUUGGUUUUCCUAAAUUUCUCUAUCAGUCUUUGCCCUGAUGCCUGUCUCUAGGAUGGUGACUAAGGAACCAGCAGAUAAGAGAUUUGAAUCUUUUAUGAUUGAUCUACAUAUUAUAUCCCCAAAGAGUUGGAGACCAUGCCACUUCCACACAUCCUGUGGAUAAUAUAUGAAUAACUGUUACCCUGCCCUUGAGAAACUUAU